rnacentral:rRNA from 1 species
AGUGAACGCUGGCGGUAGGCCCAACACAUGCAAGUCGAACGGCAGCACAGUAAGAGCUUGCUCUUACGGGUGGCGAGUGGCGGACGGGUGAGGAAUACAUCGGAAUCUACUUUUUCGUGGGGGAUAACGUAGGGAAACUUACGCUAAUACCGCAUACGACCUACGGGUGAAAGCAGGGGAUCUUCGGACCUUGCGCGAUUGAAUGAGCCGAUGUCGGAUUAGCUAGUUGGCGGGGUAAAGGCCCACCAAGGCGACGAUCCGUAGCUGGUCUGAGAGGAUGAUCAGCCACACUGGAACUGAGACACGGUCCAGACUCCUACGGGAGGCAGCAGUGGGGAAUAUUGGACAAUGGGCGCAAGCCUGAUCCAGCCAUACCGCGUGGGUGAAGAAGGCCUUCGGGUUGUAAAGCCCUUUUGUUGGGAAAGAAAAGCAGCAGGUUAAUACCCCGCUGUUUUGACGGUACCCAAAGAAUAAGCACCGGCUAACUUCGUG